GGAAUAUUGCACAAUGGGGGAAACCCUGAUGCAGCAACGCCGCGUGAAGGAAGACGGUUUUCGGAUUGUAAACUUCUUUUCUUAGUGAAGAAUAACGUGACGGUAGUUAAGGAAUAAGCAUCGGCUAACUACGUGCCAGCAGCCGCGGUAAUACGUAGGAUGCGAGCGUUAUCCGGAAUUACUGGGUGUAAAGGGAGCGCAGGCGGGACUGCAAGUUGGAUGUGAAAUGCCGCAGCUUAACUGCGGAGCUGCAUCCAAAACUGUAGUUCUUGAGUAGAGUAGAGGCAAGCGGAAUUCCGAGUGUAGCGGUAAAAUGCGUAGAUAUUCGGAGGAACACCGGUGGCGAAGGCGGCUUGCUGGGCUCUAACUGACGCUGAGGCUCGAAAGUGUGGGGAGCAA
rnacentral:rRNA from 1 species